AUAUAAUAAAAGAGUUUGAUCCUGGCUCAGAAUGAACGCUAGUGGUUAGCUUAACACAUGCAAGCUAAAAUUUUUUAUUAGUUAUAAAAUUAGUAGCGAACGGGUGAGUAAUGCAUAAAAAUUAACCUUAAAAAAUUGUUAAAUACAUUUAAAAUUAAAUUGUUUUAAGAAAAGUUUAUGUAAGAUUAAGUUGUUGGUAAUUUAAUAGAGUACCAAGCUUACGAUCUUUAGUUGGUCUAUGAGGAUGAACAGCCACAUUGGAACUGAGAUACGGUCCAAACUUAAUUAAAAGGCAGCAGUGAGGAAUAUUGGGCAAUGGGUGAAAGCUUGACCCAGCUAAACCACAAGUGUGAUGAAAGUAAAAUACUUUAAAACACUUUUUUAAAAUAAAUAAUGAUUUUAAUAAAAUAGUCCUGGCUAAUUUCGUGCCAGCAGCCGCGGUAAAACGGGAAGGGCAAGCGUUAUUCGGAUUAAUUGGGCGUAAAGAAUACGUAAGUUGAAAAUCCAAUUUUAAGAUAAAUUUUAAAGUUUAUUUUUAAUUAAUUUAAAAAAUUAAUUUUCUAGAGUUUAAAGAGAAGAUUAUAGAAUUUUAAGUGUAACGGUAAAAUGUUUUGAUACUUAAAAGAAUUUCAACAGCGAAAGCAGUAAUCUAAAAUAAAACUGACACUGAGGUAUUAAAGUGUGGGUAGCGAAAGGGAUUAGAUACCCUGUAGUCCACACCCUGACGAUAAGUGUUCAUUUUGGAGAUUCAGAAAUGUAGCUAACGUGUUAAACACUUCGCCUGGGAACUACGAUUGCAAAAUUAAAACUCAAAGGAAUUGACGGGGACUUACACAAGCAGUGGAGCAUGUGGUUUAAAUCGACAAUCCGCGCAAAAUCUUACCAAUUUUUGUAUAAUUAUAAUUAAUUACAGGUGUUGCAUGGCUGUCGUCAGUCCGUGCUGUGAAGCGUUUGGUUCAUUCCAAUAAACGGACGAAACUCUUAUAUAUUUUUGAAUAUAAACUGCUAAAGAUAUCUUGGAGGAAGGUAAGAAUGACGUCAAGUCCUCAUGACCCUAAUAAAUUGGGCUACUUUCAUGUGCUACAAUAAUUUUUUCAAAAAGUAGCAAAAACGUGAGUUUUAGCAAACCUUUUAAACAAAAUUAUAUUCGGAUUAUUUUCUGAAAUUCGAAAAUAUGAAGUUGGAAUUGCUAGUAAUCGUAAAUUAGAAUGUUACGGUGAAUUUGUUCUUAAGUCUUGUACACACCGCCCGUCACGCUAUGGAAAUUCUUUUUGCUUGAAAAAUGUUUAACAAUUUUAUAGUAAAAGAAAAACUGGAGUGAAGUCGUAACAAGGUAGCCGUAGGGGAACCUGCGGCUGGAAAAUAAUUAAAUAUUU
rnacentral:ncRNA from 1 species